AAAUUCUGUUGAUGAUCAGCAACAACUGAUGUAGCUCCCAGAAAACAUAGCCCUGCCAUCUUUGACAACUAUUCCUCCAAAGUUAUAGUAGAUGGUCUAGUGAAAAUUAGCUUGUGGGAUGCAAGGUGGACAAGAAGACUAUCAACACUCCUGUAAUCCCAGGGGGACUAAAUUCAGAGAGAGAAAUAACAAAAACACAAUUUAGAAACCAAAAGAGAAAAUGCUGACUCCAAUCAUCUACCCACAGGGUUUAACCCUAGCUAAGAAAUCAGUGUUAUUAAAUACCUGAAUAUUUGGCUUUCAGCCAUGAAGUACUUGGCAGUGUUUGAGGAAUUUCCUAGAGUAGUUCUACGUCCAUCCUUGUCAAGAAGAAGAAGAAGCAAUGUUUGUUG
rnacentral:lncRNA from 1 species